rnacentral:rRNA from 1 species
AUUGAACGCUGGCGGCAGGCCUAACACAUGCAAGUCGAACGAGUGGCGGACGGGUGAGUAAUGUCUGGGAAACUGCCUGAUGGAGGGGGAUCACUACUGGAAACGGUAUCUAAUACCGCAUACCAUCAGAUGUGCCCAGAUGGGAUUAGCUAGUGGGUGGGGUAACGGCUCACCAAGGCGACGAUCCAUAGCUGGUCUGAGAGGAUGACCAGCAACACUGGAACUGAGACACGGUGCAGACUCCUACGGGAGGCAGCAGUGGGGAAUAUUGAACAAUGGGCGCAAGCCUGAUGCAGCCAUGCCGCGUGUAUGAAGAAGGCCUUCGGGUUGUAAAGUACUUUCAGCGGGAAGGCGUUACCCGCAGAAGAAGCACCGGCUAACUCCGUGCCAGCAGCCGCGGUAAUUC